AAUGGACUAUUUCUUUCGGGACAGAGGAGACAGGUGGUGCAUGGUUGUCGUCAGCUCGUGUCGUGAGAUGUUGGGUUAAGUCCCGCAACGAGCGCAACCCUUAUCUUUAGUAGCCAGCAUGUAAGAUGGGCACUCUAGAGAGACAGCCGGGGAUAACCCGGAGGAAGGCGGGGAUGACGUCAAAUCAUCAUGCCCCUUAUGAUUUGGGCUACACACGUGCUACAAUGGCGUAAACAAAGGGAAGCGAAGUCGUGAGGCCAAGCAAAUCCCAAAAAUAACGUCUCAGUUCGGAUUGUAGUCUGCAACUCGACUACAUGAAGCUGGAAUCGCUAGUAAUCGCGAAUCAGAAUGUCGCGGUGAAUACGUUCCCGGGUCUUGUACACACCGCCCGUCACACCAUGGGAGUUGGAAAUGCCCGAAGUCAGUGACCCAACCGUAAGGAGGGAGCUGCCGAAGGUGGAGCCGAUAACUGGGGUGAAGUCGUAACAAGGUAGCCGUAUCGGAAGGUGCGGCUGGAUCACCUCCUUUCUAAGGAA
rnacentral:rRNA from 1 species